AUUCGACGAGUUACCUAAGAUGAAGGCCUCCUCAGUUAUUUCACUGAUUGCAAUCUUGACGGUGUUCGUGAUCAUGAACUAUGCAACCGUGGAGGCAGAGCCGCAACCUCAUACACGUGUUCGUCGUGGCUCUGGUUGCCCUGACGUUGCCGCCUGCAAUGACAGCUGCAGGAGAGAAGGAAAGCGAGGAGGGAUAUGCGUGCCUAUAAUUCACGACUGU
rnacentral:lncRNA from 1 species